AGCAGCCGCGGUAAUUCCAGCUCCAAUAGCGUAUAUUAAAGUUGUUGCAGUUAAAAAGCUCGUAGUUGAAUUUCGGGAUCAAUAUAUCGGUCGUGCCUUUGGUACGUACUGGUAUCAUUGAUUUCUCCUUUCUGACGAAUCAUGAUGUCAUUAAUUUGGUGUUAUGAGGAGUUAGGACUGUUACUUUGAAAAAAUUGAGUGUUUAAAGCAGGCAUUAGCUUGAAUACAUUAGCAUGGAAUAAUGAAAUAGGACGUUUGACCCUAUUUUGUUGGUUUUUAGGAUCGACGUAAUGAUUAAUAGGGAUAGUUGGGGGCAUUAGUAUUCAAUUGUCAGAGGUGAAAUUCUUGGAUUUAUUGAAGACUAACUACUGCGAAAGCAUUUGCCAAGGAUGUUUUCAUUAAUCAAGAACGAAAGUUAGGGGAUCGAAGACGAUCAGAUACCGUCGUAGUCUUAACCAUAAACUAUAGCCGACUAGGGAUCGGGAUGAUGUUAAUUUUUUAAUGUACUUCACUUCGGCGCCUUACGGGUAAAACCG
rnacentral:rRNA from 1 species